UACGGAAGGGGCUAGCGUUGCUCGGAAUCACUGGGCGUAAAGGGUGCGUAGGCGGGUCUUUAAGUCGGGGGUGAAAUCCUGGAGCUCAACUCCAGAACUGCCUUCGAUACUGGAAGACUUGAGUCCGGGAGAGGUGAGUGGAACUGCGAGUGUAGAGGUGAAAUUCGUAGAUAUUCGCAAGAACACCAGUGGCGAAGGCGGCUCACUGGCCCGGUACUGACGCUGACGGUGCGAAAGCGUGGGGAGCAAACAGG
rnacentral:rRNA from 1 species